UUCUUCCAUCACCGGUUGGCCGCGGAAGUGUGGAGAACUUUCUCCAGUUCUCUCCAUUUUCUUUCAAUCUCUACACACUUUCUUCAAAAUUUUCACCAUGUUUCAUUCUUUCCUGGUAAAAUCUACUCACCAAAACUUUUGUUGAGCUAUUCCAUCUAUCACCUUCAUCAUCAAUGAAGUGGGGGUUUAAACUCUAGUGUUUGGUAUUGUAGGAGGAGUGAGAAAGGAGAUGAAUAAGCAAAUAUAGGAUUUGACACCAAUAAUUAACAUCUGCUCAAACUUGGAGACGAUGGGUAUUCCUACUCCAAAUCUGACUUCAUUUGUGGUUCAACUCAAAUAUUUUUUCCCUUCAUGUAAUUCAUAAUAUAUCUUUAAGAAAUGAUGAGCGUGUAAUUUUAAAA